rnacentral:hammerhead_ribozyme from 1 species
GUCCAGCCGACGAGUCCCAAAUAGGACGAAACACACGUCCUGAAU